GGAAAAAUGAAAUGGGCUUCAUAUGGCACCAAAAUACCAAACUACAGUAAGUAACAGCACUAUCAUACUCAUCAGGUGAACCAGACUAUUUUGCCAUCUCAGUGAGAAAUAGUCAAUGGAGGGUGUGGUAACAGCCACCUCAGGGUGCAGAGACAUCUAAAGGAGUGGCUUGGAUUUCAGAACAGAAUGAAAUGACAUAGAAGAUAAGAGAAAAAUAGGAUUUCUAACAUCCGUGCCCAAAGAAGUGACCACAACAGAAACUGAAAGCAGAGCAAAGCCUGAAGAAAGGGAAAUUCCUCCCAGCAGAACAUGUGGGACAAAAGAAAUGAAGUUUUUCUUCACCUUGCCUUCUCACCCUAUCCAGUCAAAUAUGUUAAUAAUGGUUAAUACAAUAUGUUGAUCCUUAUGUUUGCUGUAAUCCAACCAACAGAUUGAAUAAAAAGACUCUUUUUAAGUCUUUUAAA